AUGACUGUAAUGAUUCCAAU
rnacentral:miRNA from 1 species